UACCAGAAAACCUAAAGAGACUGAGGUGA
rnacentral:piRNA from 1 species